UUUUUUUCUCAUGUUUCUUUUUUUACUAUUAUUUUGAUAUGAAUUUGUCUAUUUUUUUUUUGUGGACUUGUCAAUGUUGCGUUGAUAUAAAUUCCCGCUUAUUUUUCAUGAGUAUAAUUUGGAGUAUAAACUGGAUAUCAUUAACUUAUUGGAGACUAGAGUUAGUAGUACAGAAGCUGAUAACAUAAUUGCCAAAUUGGGAUCCAUUUUUCUCACCAAAUGGAAGCAAUUGGAUUUUUCAUGGGGAAUUUGGGUAGGUUGGAAGGACUCAGUUAGUGUUGAGGUUAUUCAUAGCCAUCCACAAGUUCUUCUGGUUCGGGUCCUUGGUCAGUCUCUUUGCCAACCUAUCCUCAUUGUUUUUGUUUAUGGCAGUCUUGACAGAAAAAGAAAAGGAAAUUGCUCUAGGAAGGGUUAAAUGCUACUAUGCCUCUAGGGGUGCUCAUUGGCUCGCUAUUGGGGACUUCAAUGCAAUCUUGUUUGGCUGUGAAAAGAGAGGGGGACGGGUUAAAGGGAAAAAUUGCUCUCUAUUUGGUAGUUUUAUGGACUCUACCACUUUACAUGAUUUGGGCUUUAGAGGCCUGUCCUUCACUUGGUGUAGAGGGGGGACUUUUGAGAGGUUAGAUAGAACUAUUAGGAAUGAUGCUUGGCUGAAUAUAUUCCCUAAUAGUUUGGUUACUCAUCUUUCAAGGCUUAAGUUUGACCAUAGACCACUUUUCUUAUCUUUGAGAUCGAAUCUUUGAACUCCCAAGGAGAAACCUUUUAGACUUUUAGUUGGUUGGUUGGAGCACCUGAGGUUUCCAAACUUUGUUAAAGAUCAGUGGGAUUUUAAUGAAAAUUUAGCAAAUUCUCUCUCCUAUCUUUCGAGUGAUCUCAAGAAGUGGAAUACAUCUGUUUAUAGACAUUUUGAAACUCUUAAAAGGUAUCUGGUGAAUAAGCUGUCUAGCAUUCAAAGGAAGAUGGAGUUAACUAAUUCUAGUAUGCUCAUCCAGUCUAAGAUGGAGACUUGUGAAGAAUUGGAAAGUGUUCUUCAUCAUGAGGAGAUCCUUUGGAAAAAGAAGUCUAAAUGUGAGUGGCUGAAUUUGGGGGACUGGAACACCAAGUUUUUCUAUUGUAGGACUUUACAAAGAAGAAAAUAGAAUCGUAUUACUACUUUGAAAGGAGAAAAUGAUGAAUGGAUUUAUGAUACUAAAGCCCUUCAACUAGAAGCCAUCAAGUUUUUCCAAAAGUUAUAUGGCGAGUAACCUGAACCAUGAGAAAUCUGCCUCCAAGUUCCUUUCCUAACCUUGAAGAUUGUGAUAUUCACUUCUGGGAAAGGAGGUGACAAAUGAUGAAAUAAAAGCAGCACUUUUUGAUAUGGCUCCUUUGAAGGCUCUGGGGAGUGAUGGUUUUCAGGCAAUGUUCUUCCAGAAUCAAUGGGACUUAACUGGACUAGGAAUUUUAGAGUGGGUUAAAUUGAUCUUUGCUAGUAAAGGUAUUGAGUCGAAAUUAAAGAAUACUCUAUUAGUCCUCAUACCUAAAGUUCCUGGUCCUAAGAAUUUCUCUCAAUUCCACCCUAUUAGCCUCUAUUCAGUGAUGUACAAAUUGGUGAUGAAGAUUAUUGUUAAUCGGUUUAAAAUGGUGUUUCUUAAUAAUGCUGGUCAGGAACAAGCAAGUUUUAUUCCAGAACGUAAUAUUACUGAUAAUAUCCUUAUUGUUCAAGAGGUCAUUCGUUCGUUGAGAAGCAAGCAUAAGAAUAGAAAUUGGAUUGCUGUCAAAAUUGAUAUUGAAAAAGCUUAUGACAGAGUUCAUUAGGAGUUUAUUGAGGUUUCUCUUCGAGCUACAGGUAUUUCUAAAAUUCUUAUUAAUGUUAUAAUGUUUGCUAUCAUGAAUUCUACUAUUUAGGUACUUUGGAAUGGGAGCCCAACAUUGAAGUUUAGACCAGUGAGGGGCAUUCAUCAUGGAUCGCCGUAUUUGUUUUUAUUGUGCAUGGAAUAGCUUGGACAUAUCAUUUGUCAUACCAGUGAUGGUGAUCAUUGUAGGCCUAUCAUUUAUCAAGAUUUGGCCCGUUUCUAUCACACAUUUUCUUUGCAAAUGAUCUUAUCAUUUUUGGACAUGCAGAUCUUCAACAAAGUAUGGUCCUUAGAAGUCUCUUAGAAAGAUUCUGAAGGAAUUGCCUAAGCAACAGUCACUAGGGCCAGCAGACCAGAUGCCAGAGAAUUCAAUUAGCCUUUGUACUGAUGGUGCGGUUCAAGUAGAAUUUGGAAAGUCUGCAGCAGGAGGAGUCUUGAGAAAUGGAAACAUGGAAUGGAUUAUGGGGUAUUCUUGAAACUAGGAGUAUGUUUUGUCUUAGAUGCUAAACUAUGGGGUAUUCUUGAUGGUUUGAAACUUAUCCAAGAUAGAAAAUAUGUCGGAGUUAUGAUUCAAACGGAUAGUUUGGAGACAGUCAAGGCCAUUCAGGAAUCUUCUCUGACGAAUUCAAGCUCUGCCCUUAUUAGGCGUAUUCAUUAUAUAUUGGUGAAUAUAGGAUUAUGGGAGUUGCAACAUAUUCCUAGGGACUAUAAUAAAAUUGUUGAUUGCAUAGCUAAAAUGACCUUUGAUAUGAACCAUAGUCUGAAGGUGUUUAUAGAGAUUCCAAGGGAGGUGCUAGCUAUCUUUAUUGUUGUUCAAGCAAGAGAUAAUUUUGCUCAAAAUUUUCUUGUGUAAUUAGUUUAAUUGCCAACUUGUUUUUCUUUUUACCAAAAAAAUAUAGUAUUUAUUGAACCAAAACUUUUCCAACAAAUUGUAACUUUUUUAAGGAUUUAGUAAUGUUAAGUAUGACUCCUAUUUUCAGUCAAA